rnacentral:rRNA from 1 species
AAGCCGCGGUAAUACGUAGGGUGCAAUCGUUGUCCGGAAUUAUUGGGCGUAAAGAGCUCGUAGGCGGGACAAUAAGUCAGUGGUGAAAGUCUGCAGCUUAACUGUAGAAUUGCCGUUGAAACUGUUGUUCUUGAGUAAUUAUGAAGUGGUUAGAAUAUGUAGUGUAGCGGUGAAAUGCAUAGAUAUUACAUAGAAUACCGAUUGCGAAGGCAGAUCACUAAUAAUUCACUGACGCUGAUGGACGAAAGCGUAGGUAGCGAAC